rnacentral:rRNA from 1 species
GAUCCUGGCUCAGGAUAAACGCUGGCGGUGUACAUAAGACAUGCAAGUCGAACGGGAGAAGACUGGAAGAUUUAUCUACUAGCUCGGACACCGUGGCGGACGGGUGAGUAACACGUAAGCAACCUACCUAUAAGAGGGGAAUAACAGUGAGAAAUUACUGAUAAUACCGCAUAAGCUGGAGGUAUCGCAUGAUACAUUCAGAAAAGAUUUAUCGCUUAUAGAUGGGCUUGCGU